rnacentral:rRNA from 1 species
GCAAAGCCGCGAGGUGGAGCAAAUCCUAAAAAGCCGGUCUCAGUUCGGAUUGCAGGCUGCAAUUCGCCUGCAUGAAGUCGGAAUCGCUAGUAAUCGCAGGUCAGCAUACUGCGGUGAAUACGUUCCCGGGCCUU